CGAUACGAGUUUGAUCAUGGCUCAGGAUGAACGCUAGCGGCAGGCCUAAUACAUGCAAGUCGAACGGGCUUAUGUUUUUCGGAAUAUGAGUUAGUGGCGCACGGGUGAGUAACACGUACAUAACCUACCUUCAAGAGGGGGAUAGCCUUGGGAAACUGAGAGUAAUACCCCAUAGUAUCAAGUUGCGGCAUCGUGAGUUGAUUAAAGCUGAGGUGCUUGAAGAUGGAUGUGCGUCUGAUUAGCUAGUUGGUGAGGUAACGGCUCACCAAGGCGACGAUCAGUAGGGGGCGUGAGAGCGUGGCCCCCCACACGGGUACUGAGACACGGACCCGACUCCUACGGGAGGCAGCAGUAAGGAAUAUUGGUCAAUGGAGGGAACUCUGAACCAGCCAUGCCGCGUGAAGGAUGACGGCCCUCUGGGUUGUAAACUUCUUUUGGAUGGGGCGAAAAAACGGGAUUUAUCCUGGACUGACGGCACCAUCAGAAUAAGCACCGGCUAACUCCGUG
rnacentral:rRNA from 1 species